rnacentral:misc_RNA from 1 species
GAUGAAGAACGCAGCGAAAUGCGAUAAGUAAUGUGAAUUGCAGAAUUCAGUGAAUCAUCGAAUCUUUGAACGCACAUUGCGCCCGCCAGUAUUCUGGCGGGCAUGCCUGUUCGAGCGUCAUUUCAACCCUCAGGGCCCUUUUGGACCUGGCGUUGGGGCUCGGCCGCUACCCUGCGGCCGUCCCCGAAAGAUAGUGGCGGUCUCGCUGUAGCCUCCUCUGCGUAGUAGUUACAUCUCGCACUGGAGCGCGGCGCGGCCAUGCCGUUAAACACCCCACUUCUCAAGGUUGACCUCGGAUCAGGUAGGAAUACCCGCUGAACUUAAGCAUAUCAAUAAGCGGAGGA